rnacentral:rRNA from 1 species
GACGAAGGAUCCAAGCGUUAUCCGGAUUCAUUGGGUUUAAAGGGAGCGUAGGCGGGUUUAUAAGUCAGCGGUGAAAGCCGAUCGCUUAACGAUCGAACUGCCAUUGAUACUGUAGACCUAGAGUACAGAUGAUGUUGGCGGAAUAUGACAUGUAGCGGUGAAAUGCAUAGAUAUGUCAUAGAACACCGAUUGCGAAGGCAGCUGACAAAACUGUAACUGACGCUGAGGCUCGAAAGUGCGGGGAUCAAACAGG